GUCAGACUCCCGAGUAGCUGGGACUACAGGCGCCCGCCAUGAUGCCCGGCUAAUUUUUUGUAUUUUUAGCAGAGACGGGGUUUCACCCUGUUAGCCAGGAUGGUCUCAUCUCCUGACCUCGUGAUCCGCCCGCCUAGGCCUCCCAAAGUGCUGGGAUUACAGGCGUGAGCCACCGCGCCCGGCCUAAUAAAGGACAAUUUUUAAUAGCCACUGGACUAUUUAAGUGAUCUCUUCUGUCAGUUUCUUUUACCAUCAGAGGACACAGCAGCAAGGUGCCAUCCUAGAAGCAGAGAGCAGACCCUUACCAGACAACCAACCAGCUGGUGCCAUGAUCUUGGACUUCUCGGCCUCCAGAACUAAAUACAGAUUUAUCUUUGUUCCAUGCCACUCCUGAUAGACAUUUACCUCCACCUUGGAAGAAUACAAAGGACUCCACUUAAAAGGCAAAUCAAGCCAAACCUUAUAAAGACAAGCCACAGACUUCAGGUUACAUGUUUUGAGUUCUGCACAAAAUAUUUGAAUGGGUGCUUCAUAAAAGAUGAUAUAUGAGGACUUGGGGCAGAACAAGAUGGCAGAAUAGAAGGCUCCGCCAAUUGUCCCUGCUUCAAGGACACCAAUUUAACAACUAACUACAUAAAAUAGCACCUUUAUAAGAACCAAAAAUCAGGCACUUAAACACGCAGCAUGAGGAAAAUGGAACAACAAUCUUGAGGUGCCUUCUGAAUCAUCAGAUUAAAUUAUGCUUCGGUCUUGCACUGCUGCCUAGGCUAGAGUGCAGUGGUGCAAUCAGGGCUCACUGCAGCCUCACUCAACUUCCCAGUCUCAAGCCAUCCUCCUACCUCAGCCUCUGUUCCACUAAUCUACUUGUCAAUUUUUCCAGCAACACCACACCCUCCUGAUCACCAUAGCUUUAUGGUCAGCUGUGCUAACUUGAUCUCUGAAAAUAGGCUGUGGAUGGUCCUUGCCCUUCCGGACUAACUUGUGCUGCCAUGUUGUUUAUAGUCAUUAGAAAUACUGUAAAAGCAUGCACUGGUAUUCUAAAUUCUAUCUUCUAGCAUUUGAGAAUUUUGUCCAAGACAAUAUCCUGCCAAAAUGCUUCAACAACAGAACAAGAGAAGGGAAAUGGAAUCCUGGAACCAGUAAGGAUUUCUGCUGAGUUACAGCAUCUGUACAUAGCUCAAUAUUAAAAUAUUAAAAUUAAAAUACUGUAACUUAGCAAGCUAAUAGAUAAAAAGAGAAAAUGCGUAUAAUUAUCUCUUUAUAGCUAGAAGAAAUUUGAUGAAAUUCAUUCUCUAUUCUUGUUAAGAACUCUUAAUGCACUGCAAUGUAUUUACAUAAAAUAUCCUGAAAAUAAAAAUAUAAUUAUUAUUUCAUAUUUUUAAAAGAA
rnacentral:lncRNA from 1 species